GACGAACGCUGGCGGCGUGCUUAACACAUGCAAGUCGAACGGAAAGGCCCUGCUUUUGUGGGGUGCUCGAGUGGCGAACGGGUGAGUACCACGUGAGUAACCUGCCCUUGACUUUGGGAUAACUUAAGGAAACUGGGGCUAAUACCGGAUAGGAGCUCCUGCUGCAUGGUGGGGGUUGGAAAGUUUCGGCGGUUGGGGAUGGACUCGCGGCUUAUCAGCUUGUUGGUGGGGUAGUGGCUUACCAAGGCUUUGACGGGUAGCCGGCCUGAGAGGGUGACCGGGCACAUUGGUACUGAGAGACGGCCCAGACUCCUACGGGAGGCAGCAGUGGGGAAUAUUGCACAAUGGGCGGAAGCCGGAUGCAGCAACGCCGCGUGCGGGAUGACGGCCUGCGGGGUGUAAACCGCUGUCGCCUGUGACGAAGCGGUAGUGACGGUAAUGGGUAAAGAAGCACCGGCUAACUACGUG
rnacentral:rRNA from 1 species